rnacentral:misc_RNA from 1 species
AACGCACAUUGCGCCCCUUGGUAUUCCAUUGGGCAUGCCUGUUCGAGCGUCAUAUACCCCUUCAAGCCCCCCGCUUGGUGUUGGGCGCCUGUUCGCGCGGCGCAACGGCCGCGCGGACUCGCCUUAAAGGUAUUGGCGGCGGCCCUGAGGACCUCCUGCGCAGCACAGCGCGCUUCUGGAUGGACCGUGGCGGGCUCGCGGCCCAGAAAAUCACCCCCCCAGUUUGACCUCGAAUCAGGUAGGGAUACCCGCUGAACUUAA